GUUUGAUGGGAAAUAAAGAUCUCACAAACAUGAGGAAAGAUGACCUUGAAAGACAAAGCUAAGACAAAUAUUUUGGAGCGUAGCUGUCGGGGUUUGUGUUCAUUCAGCCACAUGAGCAUUAAUGAGGUCAGGCAAUGGUGUCAGGCAAAGAGGCCUGGGGUGCAGUUGGCGGUUCAGUUCAUCCCAGAAGUGUUCGAGGGGGUCUCAGAUCCGUGGCAAAGUGGUGAAAUGCGCCUAGCAACAGCAACACGCUAACAUGAACACCAUGACCUGAACAAGCCGAUGAAGAACAGGGACGAACAGCAACCACGAUGUCAGAUAAAGUGAUGUGAAAGG